ensembl:lncRNA
CAAUCCUAUGAGGUUCCCAUUGCCAUGAAGGCUGUAUUUAACUACAUCGACACCUUCUCCUCCCGAAUCCGAGAGAUGGAGCAGCAGAAGAGAGAUGGAGUGGUCUGUAAGAAGGAAGACAAGCCCAGAUCUUUGAAAAACUUUCUCUCCAGGUUCCGAUGGAGACGUCGCCUGUUCAUCAUCUCCGCUCCCAACGACAAGGAGUGGGCCUAUCAGCAGCAGCUCUACGCCCUAAACAGCCAAGCCUGCAAUCUGGAUGGUGAUCUUUUCUAAAAACGAUAGGACAGGUGUGGAGGAGAAUGAAGCAAGAGAAUGGGUUCCUAAGUCUGUGAGCUCAUCUGAAGAUGAUGGGACAGAUGACUGGAUACCCACACAGGAUGAAUCUGAAGGCUAUUCAGAAGAGGAGGAAGAACAAGAACAUAAAAGGAUUCCUAAGAUGCUGGCAGCAUCUGAAGAGGAUGGGACACAUGAUAGUAGACCCACACAGGAUGAAUCUAAAGAUGAUUCAAAAGAUGAAGCAGAACAUUUGGGACAAAUGAUUCACAAAGUGGCCAUGGAAAAGGGGGCGUUUGUGAGCAGUGAGUUGCCGCAGAGGACAGAGGAACAGCAACAGGUUGCUGGCAUCUCUAAGACUCAAAGGCAUCACAAUGUCAGAAAUAGACACAAGUGUCCCAUAUGUGGACAUGUAUAUGCUGAUAUUGUUCAGCACCUAAGAGUCACAGAGAAAGUGGUAAAUGAAAUUGAGCUGCUUCUUUUGAGCCAAUUUUCUCAUCGGCACUUUUCUGCAAAUCUGGACUGUCCAGUCCACUUAUGUCAGUCAAAACAUCUUAAUCGGCUUGAUAAGCACCUGGAAAAGGUCCACAAAUUACAGAAACCUAUGAUUAAACUUUACAUGCAAAAGGCCAAGGACAGAUGCGUUGCUAAGGAACUUGCACUUCUGAGGGCAUCAAAUCCCACACUGCAAAUGGUCUCACAUGUGGGUGAAGUGGAUUAUACAGUGAUUGAGGAGGGCAUCUUUAGGGCACUGGAGGCAAGGUCCAAGGUUGCAUCCCCUAUAGCCUCUUCCAGCAACGCUCCCAGUGACCAUGCUACCCUGAACCAUUGGCCUGCUCCUCCCUCUGACAGCAAGGCUCUGGGUGACUCUACCAGACCAAACCUACAGCCUCCUCUCUCUACCCGUGACCCUCUCAGUGACCACACCAUCCCAAUUAUGCAGCCUCCUUCUAUCUCCACCAGCAAGAUUACUUGUGAUUCAACAGUGGUGUCCCCUGAUUUGUUAAUCCCAAGCAGUGCACCUUACUAUGCAGCAAAGCAAAGGAGGGAAUGUCUUCUCCCGAGGACACCUGCUCCUGGUUGCAAAAACUGUCAGAUACUGUUCACUGAGCUACAGGUGGUGAAGCAGUUGCUAGAGUGUGAAAUUGAAAGGAAUCAUGAGCUCAAGCAGAUACAUUCUUCAACCAAGCAUCCAAAUGUUAAAUAUAGCAGACGUAAACGGUUUUCACCCAGCAAAGCCCCUCACUAUGUAAGACUGGUGGAAGAAUUUAGGGCCCAUGCAGAAGGUGUGAACCCUAGCAUAGAACUACAUGAAAAUGCAAGGCAGCGAGCCACUCAUGUCAUCCGGUUUCUGGAAUUCAUGGCAGACCCAGCAAUUCCAAACGUUGACCUUCUGUUUCUGAGGAACCAUGGAAAAGUCCGUGAUUUUCUAGCACACCUGCAAGCAAAAGGGUUUAAACCAACAACUCAGAGAGCUUAUCUCAUGGAUGCUAUUGCUUUCAUGAAAUAUAUAUUAAACAUGUCACCACCACAAGUCAGACUUGGAAAUAAAAGGAUCAACGCCCUUUUGGUCGAACUGAGGGCACGUAACAGAGAUGUUGGCCGUGAAGUAGUCGUGCACCAGCUGAAUGUGCGGAGAUCUAAGUCUAAAAGACUUGUCAAAGCAGAAAAACAUGCUUUGUUCAUUGAAGAGGCUCCCCAGAAGAUUGCUGCCGCACUGGAUGACCUCGAGAAGCAACCCCAGAACAGAACAAUAUUGAAAUUGUUUUUUGGACUGUUGGGUGGAUACCUCAUUGCCAUAACUGGCCACCGAAAGGGAGUGGUCAUCAACAUGACUACUGAGGAGGUUGAAAUGGCAGAAAAAACUAAGCAGGGUGCCCGCAUCAUCCGUGUUAAACAGCACAAAACUCAAAGAUACCAUGGGGAAGCAGCUGUCCCCCUGUACAAGAAUGAGUAUACCUGGUUGCAGCGUUACAAUCAUAUUAGAGAGUAUAUUGAAGGGGGUUCGGAGGCAUCAACUUUUUUCCACAGUUCCAGUGGAGGUGUUCUUCAUAGACUACUGGAAUUUUUCAAGGCAGCCUGGGAGAUGAUGAAUCUGGGGAUUGCCCCCACCUUCAACAUGAUACGUUCCUCCUGUAGCACUUACGCCAAGCGACAGUUGGGACGUAAAUCUUAUGACAGAGUGGCAACGUUUAUGUGCCAUGAUGCCAUCACAGCCAAAAGAUUUUACCAAGCUGAGGACCCUGCAGAGGACACACUCCAGAGCCGAGCACUGACCACCCAUGCAAUUGCAACAUAUGCAGCAAAGAAAAGGAAAAGGACAGAGGACAGAGGAUCUGUGCAGGACAAGGACAGUGAAGGAUCUGACAAGGAAGAGCAGCAGUCAUCAGGAACAGAGGAGCUUUUAGACAGAAGGCUCUUCCAGUGUAACAGUAACAAGAUGGUCAUCUUUUACAAAAAUGAUAGGACAGGUGUGGGGAAACUCACACAAGAAGACAAUCCACAAGAGGAGGAGGAGGAUGAAGCGAGAGAAUGGGUUCCUAAGUCUGUUAGCUCAUCUGAAGAUGAUGGGACAGAUGACUGGACACCCACACAGGAUGAAUCUGAAGGCUAUUCAGAAGAGGAGGAAGAACAAGAACAUAAAAGGAUUCCUAAGGUAGCCAAGAAAAACAAAACUGGGUGUCCUGUGCCACAAAGAGAGAUGGCAGCAGCAUCUGAAGAGGAUGGGACACAUGAUAGCAGACCCACACAGGAUGAUUCAAAGGAUGAAGCAGAACAUUUGGGACAAAUGAUUCACAAAGUGUCCAUGGAAAAGGACAGGGAAACGGCGAUAAGCUUAUUACCAGUACAACACCAAAUUCCAGUUGUUACUCUGAAUUCAGUCACUCUCAAGACACCCAUGAAGGACAAGGUCGCACUGGAGGUCCCUCCUGGUAUGCAGCAGGCCUAUGUAAACCAAGACACAGCAAGGACUGUGAAUAAGAGUUCAGAAAAAAGUGUGAUUCACCAAACCAGUUACUUGAAGAGGCUCAUUUUUCAUCAGUCAACUCUCUUUGAAGACACCAUACCAAGAUCUGAUAACAACAAGAAAGACCAAAGUGGAAUGUCAUCUGCAGCAAUAAUAACCUCAGAACAACUGGAAGAGAAAGAGAUACAAGAAGAAUCUCUGGAGAAGAUGAAGUGUGAAGACAAAGGAGGGAAGAGAAAAGAAAAAGUACAGCAGGAGCCUCUGGAGAAGAUGAGGGGCAAAAGGCAAAGGAAGGAAGAAAAGAUACAGGCAGAGCCUCUGGAGAAGAUGAAGAGUGAAGCCAAAGUAGGAAAGAGAAAAGAAAAAGUACAGCAGGAGCCUCUGGAGAAGAUGAGGAGCAAAAGGCAAAGGAAGGAAGAAAAGAUACAGGCAGAGCCUCUGGAGAAGAGAAUUAAGAUUAUGAAAUAAAAGAAGGAAAAAUCCACAGAGUUCUCAAAGAAAUGGCGAGAGAAAGUCUCAGAAAAUAAGGUGCAUGAAAGAGUUGUUAAUUAAAAGUGAUCAUCUAAUGAGUUACUGUCAUGUUUAUUUUCUGGAAUCACUGGUGCUCUCAGACUUGACAUUAUAUAAUUCCACCAUAUGUGAGAUCAGUCAAAUUAAGAAAGGAAUCAAAAUAGCUAUACCAAUGGCUGCAGAAAAGUGACAGUGGUCAAACAACAUCAUUGAGCAUGACAAAACACUUUUGAAGACAGCAGUCUCCAGAUACCUCAUCAUUGAAGACAAAUGACACACAUCUAUUGUGGAGAAAAUUCGGUUCAAAUCAAUUUUAUUUAUAUAGCGGCAAAUCACCACAACAUUCGCCUCAAGGCACUUUAUAUUGUAAGGUAGACCCUACAAUAAUACAUACAGAUAUAAACCCAACAAUCAUAUGACCCCCUAUGAGCAAGCACUUUGGCGACAGUGGGAAGGAAAAACUCCCUUUUGACAGGAAGAAACCUCCAGCUGAACCAGGCUCAGGGAGGGGCGGGGCCAUCUUCUGCGACCGGUUGGGCUGAGAGAAGGAAGACAGGAUAAAGACAGAAGAGAGACAGAGAUUAAUAACAGAUAUGAUUCAAUGCAGAGAGGUCUAUUAAUACAUGGUUAGUGAGAAAGGUGACUGAAGAAGAAAUGCUCAAUGCAUCAUUGGAAUCCCCCAGCAGCCUACACCUACAGCAGCAUGACUAAGGGAGGAUUCAGGGUCACCUGAUCCAGUCUUAACUAUAUACUUUAGCAAAAUGGAAAGUUUUAAGCCUAAUCUUGAAAGUAGAGAUAGUGUCUGUCUCCAAAAUCCAAACUGGUUCCACAGAAGAGGGGCCUGAAAAGUGAAGGCUCUUCCUCCCAUUCUACUUUUAAAUACUCUAGGAGCAACAAGUAAGCCUGCAGUGCGAGAGCAAAGUGCUCUAAUAGGGUGAUAUGGUACUACAAGGUCAUUAAGAUAAGAUGAGGGCCUGAUUAUUUAAGACCUUGUAUGUGAGGAGCAGGAUUGUUAAAUUCAAUUCUGGAUUUAACAGGAGCCAAUGAAGAGAAGCCAAAACAGGAGAAAUAUGCUCUCUCUUUCUAGUCCCUGUCAGUACUCUUGCUGCAGCAUUUUGGAUUAAAUGAAGGCUUUUCAGGCAGUUUUUAGGACAUCCUGAUAAUAAUGAAUUACAGUAGUCCAGCCUAGAAGUAAUGAAUGCAUGAACUAGUUUUCCAGCGUCGCGCUGAGACAGGAUAUUUCUAGAGAUGUUGCGCAAAUGAAAGAAAGCAGUCCUACAUAUUUGUUUAAUAUGUGCAUUGAGGACAUAUCCUGGUCAAAAAUUACUUCAAGGUUCCUCACAGUGUCACUAGAGGCCAAGGUAAUGCCAUCCAGAGUAAGAAUCUGGUUAGAUACCAUAUUUCUAAAAUUUUCAGGGCUGAAUACAAUAACUUCAGUUUUAUCUGAAUUUAGAAGCAGAAAAUUAGAGGUCAUCCAGGUCUGCCCUGGGACAAACUUGUUGGACUUACAACAGAUGGAGCGCCCACAAUGUGUGGUGAAAAAAGUGAACUAUUCGGCAGGAUUCGAGUAAAAGAUGCAGGAUGUGAACUAUACGGGUGAGUUAACAGCAUAUCACUGCAUCACACACCAGCAAACGCUGUGUAGUAAAGUCCUAAAAAUGGAGCAUGUAAUGAGUACUGUAACGCAAAAGGUCAAUUUUAUUCUAGCUAAAGGUUUAAAUUACUGUCAAUUUCAGUCUUUUGUGCAGGAAAUAGAUUCAGAGUUUGCCGACAUGCCUUAUCAUACAGAGGUCCAUUGGCUGAGUUGGGGAAAAGUUCUCAAUAGUGUGUGGUGGCAGAUUUCUUUUCUCAUAUAUUAAUCACAUAUUUAAUUAUAUCACAUUAGUUAUAGUAAUAUCACUUUCUCACUUUACCAUAGUAAGAGCACUCCUGCCCAGGUAGAUGUUAUUUUAUAUAUUAUGAUUUGUAUGUUGUUCAGUAUAUUUCUAUGCAAAACAAGAGGAAUUUCAAUACACAGCAGUAUAUUCACAGUUUAAACCAGAUAUUUACAUACACUUUAUGGAAAACACAAGAACAUUUUUUUACUGUACAACAUCAAUUUAGAGUAAACUUGUUUUGUUUUGGAUAAAUAUUGAAAUAUCUUUUGAAUUAGUUAAAUGUCAGAAUAAAGAGAGACAGAGCUGUCUAUUUUUAUCACUUUCAUCAAGUUUAGAAGUACAUAUACACUAAGUUUAUUGUUCAUUAAUAAGAAAACUGCAGACGAUUCCAUUCUGAGCUUAAGAAGCUUCUGAUAGGUUAGUAGAGUCCAUGUGAGUAAAUUGAUGGCACACCUGUGCCAUCAAUUUACAUAUAAGGUAAGGUGUUUUGCCUUGUGCAUAUAAGGCAAAACACAGAGCCUGUUUCUUUGACAUGGGAAAAUCAAGAGAUGUCAACCAAAACACCAGGAAAAGAAUUGUGGAGCUCCAUAAGUGUGGCUCAAUUUUGAAUACAAUUUGGUGCCAUUUACAAUUAAGAAAUACAGAUAGUUUCUGUCUUUACUCUUAAAGUUAACAAAUAUGUUUUUUAUGUUUAUCAAUCUAAAAAAAAAUAAACAUUUAGUCUGAUUUGAUGUUACAAUUAAAAAAGUGUGUUUUUAUCUGAAGAGUAUGUAAAUAUCUGGUUUCAACUGUAUAUUUGAUGAUGUUGGUGUUUGGCUUGAUUGUCAGCACAAAGAGGGAGAGAGAGGAACAGAGACGGAGAGAGAGGAAGAGAGAGGGAGAGAGAGGAGCAGAGAGGGAACAAGAGCAGGUGAGACAGACAUGUUAGUCAAAUGGUUGUUUACCAAAAGUAUCACCGUAUCAUAGGUACUCAUGUAUCUCGUACCUAGUGUUUCUUUUUAGGUGUGUUAGUUUUCAAAUUCUAUAUUUAUUAAGUUAUGCAGGCUUGUUUGCACAACAAGGCUAAAUAAUUAUGUAAACUUUUCUGAAUCUAAAUAGUGUACUUUGGUAGAAUUAAAAAACAAGUGUAGUGCAGGUCUAUGAUGAUUUUCAGUGCUACUAUCAUCUAGUUUUGAUUCUGGUUCUGUUUUGGUUGAGUCCUAAGUAGUCCUGAUUUUGAACUGAUGUAGUCCUGUUUUAAUUCCGGAUCAGUUCUGGGUCUGGUUGAAUUGAGGCUCAGUCCUCGUGUCUUGAUACAGCCCCGACUUUGUUCUGCCUUGCUGCUUAAUUAAAAAACUAGUUUAAGGUGUCCUGCAUAUGUGAUAUAUAUUUUUCCCUAUAUGAAGUCAUUCUUUUUUGAACAAAACUCAAAACAGAGCCUAUUACUCUUUCAGUCAUUACUCCCCCCACCCCCCACCCCAAUCUCACAUGCAUACUACCCUUUAUGGCUAAUCCCCGGGUGUAUCAAAUGUCUGCCUCCGCCUCUGCUCCUGCCACUACUUUACAGGCAUGUGGAAAGUUAACACAGUGAGGCCAUUGUAAUGGGAUACAUUAAACAGAUAGUGAGAUACUCUAGGUUGCAGGACAAGAGUUUAACCUUUGUGAAGGGAAAAAAAAAGAGAUUCUGGUUUGACCAACC